rnacentral:rRNA from 1 species
GACGAACGCUGGCGGCGUGCUUAACACAUGCAAGUCGAACGGAAAGGCCCUGCUUUUGUGGGGUGCUCGAGUGGCGAACGGGUGAGUAACACGUGAGUAGCCUGCCCUUGACUUUGGGAUAACUUCAGGAAACUGGGGCUAAUACCGGAUAGGAGCUCCUGCUGCAUGGUGGGGGUUGGAAAGUUUCGGCGGUUGGGGAUGGACUCGCGGCUUAUCAGCUUGUUGGUGGGGUAGUGGCUUACCAAGGCUUUGACGGGUAGCCGGCCUGAGAGGGUGACCGGCCACAUUGGGACUGAGAUACGGCCCAGACUCCUACGGGAGGCAGCAGUGGGGAAUAUUGCACAAUGGGCGGAAGCCUGAUGCAGCAACGCCGCGUGCGGGAUGACGGCCUUCGGGUUGUAAACCGCUUUCGCCUGUGACGAAGCGUGAGUGACGGUAAUGGGUAAAGAAGCACCGGCCAACUACGUG